rnacentral:rRNA from 1 species
GACGAACGCUGGCGGCGUGCCUAAUACAUGCAAGUCGUGCGGACCUUGUUGAACGCUUGCUUUUAAAAGGUUAGCGGCGGACGGGUGAGUAACACGUGGGCAACCUGCCUGUAAGACUGGGAUAACGCCGGGAAACCGGGGCUAAUACCAGAUCGUUUUUUCCUCCGCAUGGAGGAAAAAGGAAAGGCGGCUUCGGCUGCCACUUACAGAUGGGCCCGCGGCGCAUUAGCUAGUUGGCGGGGUAAUGGCCCACCAAGGCAACGAUGCGUAGCCGACCUGAGAGGGUGAUCGGCCACAUUGGGACGGAGACACGGCCCAAACUCCUACGGGAGGCAGCAGUAGGGGAUCUUCCGAAAUGGACGAAAGUCUGACGGAGCAACGCCGCGUGAGUGAAGAAGGCCGUCGGGUCGUAAAACUCUGUUGACGGGGAAGAACAAGUGCCGUUCGAACAGGGCGGCGCCUUGACGGUACCCGGACAGAAAGCCACGGCUAACUACGUG